rnacentral:rRNA from 1 species
ACUAGAGCCAUAUCACCCUGCAGCUCUUGCCUGGUUUCCCACUGACGCUAUGCAGGGUUAAGCCUGGCCAGUACUUAGAUGGGAGACCUCCUGGGGAAAACUUAGAUUGCUGCUGGAA